rnacentral:lncRNA from 13 species
CAUCUGCAGAGUAAGAGAGUCUUGAGAGAUCUACAUAUAGGUCUAACUGCAAGAAAAGGGUCAGACUGAGAACCCUCCUGGCACAAGUAUGAAUAAAACCGACAACGAAAACCACAGAGU